GUGUCAGAGAUUAGAGGCUUCACUGUGUGGAAUUGGCUGAUAGCGUUAAACAUUCGGUUGCAUAAGUGAGACAGUGCCUGUCCAGCUGUCCAACUGUGUCAAAUGGCACAUAAAGAUUCCGAUUCUGUCGGAUGAAAAAUAACACCAACUUGCAUUGGGAGUAUUUAGGGGCUCUCGAUAACACUCACGCCGAGGUCAUGUCGACCACUCGGCACUGAUAAUCCUCCGGCGGCAUCGGGGUCGAAGUCGGAAUCGGAGGAGGACUGUUGCCGAGAGCGCGGAGUACUGUGUAUGUCAAAGGUCACGUUCGCGUACCACCCUCCCUCCCUUGAGAACCUUCGAUCCCUGCCAGUCGCUAUCGACUGCCGAGAUAAUGGGCAAUCUAAUGGCCCUGAUUAGCCCGAAUCGGGAGAACAGUUUUGCUUUUCAAUGGAGUGGAACGAACAGUUCCGCAGGCCUGAUUUCCAAUGGAUCCCGACCAAACGCAUCGAAUUGGUUUGACUUUUGAGAGGAUAAAGAGAAUUUGAAACUUGUUAACGGUCGGUUGACAAGCGUAACGAGAUGGGAGUAGAGGAUGCUGGGGAACCGAUUUUAAUUACACGUAAUCUUUAUAAAUAGAAGCCGCAAGAGGCAGAAGGCAAUAACCGGCGAGGAUCCUCGGCCAUCCAAUAAAAAAGUGCAGCACACAGAACCAAGCACAAGUUGAAUGCAUAAAUCAAUAGUGCCUUGAGCUGUGGAAGGCAGUAAACACAGAUACCAGCUCACACAGAAGCCGAGAGCGAAAAAUGCCGGGACAAGCCAUAAAUGAGUAAUUGCUGACAACGCUGCAGACCUUAUCCAGUAGCCUUGGUUUGGGCCUUCUUCUGGGCCUCCAUCUAUGAUGGGUCCAGUGCCAUUUUCAGCCAGGACAACAAACCAUAAGCGUACGCCUAGUCAAACAAAACUUAAAAGAACUAGGAACUGGGAGCCACCGAGGGCUGAAUAAUGUAUGCCCUAAUAUAUUGGAAACUCAAAUAUAUAAAAUUACUACCCUUAACUAAAUUUAUUUACUAAAAU